rnacentral:rRNA from 1 species
UGGGCUCGUGAGCGGCGCACGGGUGAGUACGCGUGGGAAUGUACCCUUUAGUACGGAAUAGCCUCGGGAAACUGGGAUUAAUACCGUAUACGCCCUUCGGGGGAAAGAUUUAUCGCUAAAGGAUCAGCCCGCGUGACAUUAGCUAGAUGGUAAGGUAAUGGCUUACCAUGGCGACGAUGUCUAGCUGGUCUGAGAGGAUGAUCAGCCACACUGGAACUGAGACACGGUCCAGACUCCUACGGGAGGCAGCAGUGAGGAAUAUUGGGCAAUGGGCGAAAGCCUGACCCAGCCAUGCCGCGUGUGUGAUGAAGGCCCUAGGGUUGUAAGGCACUUUCAUUGGUGAAGAUAAUAACGGUAACCAAAGAAGAAGCCCCGGCUAACUUCGUGCCAGCAGCCGCGGUAAUACGAAGGGGGCUAGCGUUGUUCGGAAUCACUGGGCGUAAAGCGCGUGUAGGCGGAUAUGUAAGCUAGGGGUGAAAUCCCGGGGCUCAACCUCGGAACUGCCUUUAGAACUGCAUAUCUAGAAUCUCGGAGGGGAUAGGGGAUUUCCUAGUGUAGAGGUGAAAUUCGUAGAUACUAGGAGGAACACCGGUGGCGAAGGCGCCUAUCUGGACGAGCAUUGACGCUGAGACGCGAAAGCGUGGGGAGCA